rfam:Camelus ferus unplaced genomic scaffold scaffold1279, whole genome shotgun sequence.
GAGGGUAUAGUUAAGUGGUAGAGUGCAUGCUUAGCAUUCAAGAGGUCCUGGGUUCAAUCCCCAGUACCUGCU